rnacentral:rRNA from 1 species
AUUGAACGCUGGCGGCAGGCCUAACACAUGCAAGUCGAGCGAGCGGCGGACGGGUGAGUAAUGUCUGGGAAACUGCCUGAUGGAGGGGGAUAACUACUGGAAACGGUAGCUAAUACCGCAUACCAUCAGAUGUGCCCAGAUGGGAUUAGCUAGUAGGUGGGGUAACGGCUCACCUAGGCGACGAUCCCUAGCUGGUCUGAGAGGAGGACCAGCCACACUGGAACUGAGACACGGUCCAGAUGUCUACGGGAGGCAGCAGUGGGGAAGAUUGCACAAGGGGCGCAAGCCUGAUGCAGCCAUGCCGAGUGUGUGAAGAAGGCCUGCGGGUUGUAAAGCACGUUCAGCGGGGAGGCGUUACCCGCAGAAGAAGCACCGGCUAACUCCGUGCCAGCAGCCGCGGUAAUUC